AGAGUUUGAUCAUGGCUCAGGACGAACGCUGGCGGCGUGCCUAAUACAUGCAAGUCGAGCGGAUCUUCUUGAGUAGCUUGCUACUCAAGAAGGUUAGCGGCGGACGGGUGAGUAACACGUAGGCAACCUGCCCAUAAGACUGGGAUAACAUUCGGAAACGAAUGCUAAGACCGGAUACGCAAGAAGGCGGCAUCGCUUUC
rnacentral:rRNA from 1 species